rnacentral:rRNA from 1 species
CCCUUAGAUGUUCUGGGCUGCACGCGCGCUACACUGAUGCAUUCAACGAGCUUUCGAUCUUGCCCGAGAGGGUUGGAUAAUCUUUUUAAAGUGCAUCGUGAUGGGGAUAGAUUAUUGCAAUUAUUAAUCUUCAACGAGGAAUGCCUAGUAGGCGCAAGUCAUCAGCUUGCGUCGAUUACGUCCCUGCCCUUUGUACACACCGCCCGUCGCUCCUACCGAUUGGGUGUGCUGGUGAAAUGUUCGGAUCGGCCGUUUGUCGCGGUUUCCGCGGCUCGUGGCUGAGAAGUUCAUUAAACCCUCCCACCUAGAGGAAGGAGAAGUCGUAACA